GACGAACGCUGGCGGCGUGCUUAACACAUGCAAGUCGAACGGUGAAGCGCCUUCCUUUUUGGUGGGUGUGGAUGAGUGGCGAACGGGUGAGUAACACGUGAGUAACCUGCCCCCUUCUUCUGGAUAACCGCAUGAAAGUGUGGCUAAUACGGGAUAUUCUGGGUCUGUCGCAUGAUGGGUCUGGGAAAGAUAUUGUUUCGGUGGGGGAUGGGCUCGCGGCCUAUCAGCUUGUUGGUGGGGUGAUGGCCUACCAAGGCGGUGACGGGUAGCCGGCCUGAGAGGGUGGACGGUCCCACUGGGACUGAGACACGGCCCCGACUCCUACGGGAGGCAGCAGUGGGGAAUAGUGCACAAUGGGCGCAAGCCUGAUGCAGCGACGCCGCGUGAGGGAUGGAGGCCUUCGGGUUGUGAACCUCUUUCGCCAGUGAAGCAGGCCUGCCUCGUUUGUGGGUGGGUUGACGGUAGCUGGAUAAGAAGCGCCGGCUAACUACGUG
rnacentral:rRNA from 1 species